rnacentral:rRNA from 1 species
GUCCGAUGAACACUUUGGAUUUUAGUAAUGUCAGUCUUAACGGAUUGAUGAUUAUUGAGAGAAGUUGUGUAAAUCUUACCAUUUAGAGGAAGGUGAAGUCGUAACAAGGUU